rnacentral:rRNA from 1 species
GACAGAGGAUGCAAGCGUUAUCCGGAAUGAUUGGGCGUAAAGCGUCUGUAGGUGGCUUUUUAAGUCUUCCGUCAAAUCCCAGGGCUUAACCCUGGACAGGCGGUGGAAACUAACAAGCUGGAGUACGGUAGGGGCAGAGGGAAUUUCCGGGGGGGCGGUUAAAUGCGUAGAGAUCGGAAAGAACACCAACGGCAAAAGCACUCUGCUGGACCGAGACUGACACUCAGAGACGAAAGCUAGGGGAGCGAAUGGG